CGCCCCACAGAUCACGUCUCUACGGCGGCAAGGCGCGUCGAUACAUUACUUCAAUGCUAAGGAUUAACGUCGACAUUCAUGAUGGGCUGGUUUAUGUCGUAAUUUCUGAUACGGAGGAAGUUCGCACUCGUUCGCGCAUUAUUUAUUUUCAAAGCACCCGCGUUUUACGUACUACGCAUGCCUACGUUCCCAUUCAUGCGCUUAUCUAUUUGCUUUUGCUUUGCUUAUCUUCAAGCAAGCCAGGUACUGAGCACUGUACCCCAGGUGCGUGGCUGGAACCGCAUGGAAACCGCCUCUCGCAAUUUCGGCACUACCAAAUAUUUUUCUCACUUGUUUUCCGAGAUGCCUAGGGAAGCUCCAUCGUGACUAGCAGCAGCGAGGACCAGUUUGACAAUUGUUUUGACUGGUGCUGUUUACAACAUCAACACCAUGCAUGAGCGCGUGCCCGUUAUUUACGUGAAAAAAAGUGCGACUCGGCGACAAUGUUCUGGUCCACUACACUGUUGUGCACUCAGCCGAACGAUGAUGACCAAUGCCAGUGAAAUUUUUUCGAACUUUUGUUCUCCGCCUUUGUAAUGAGCAGCAAAGGAUACGAGGUGUCAACACACUGGAAACGCGCCCGCGCACAUGGAGUCAGAUGGAGACACUGUGCUGGUAAUCCUCGAGUUAUUUCUCACACUGGCAGCUUCGCAGUCAGGUUGCGAAGCUGCCAGUUCAUUGUGAAUAGCCUUCUUUGGCUUUUUUGCCCGAUUUUGUGAACGUCGCACUUUCACCGCCGAUACAAAGGCACCAAUGCAUAGCUGUGCGAUCUCGCACAACCGGCACUAGACGGGCUUGCUGUCCGUGCCAGAGCUUUGGGGCGUUUGAAGGUUUAGGUGCUGUAGUGGAGUGCUCGGUCUAUGCUACUGCUAACGACGUGCUGGUUCUACAGCUAUUGUUCUCUACUGAAUUAUGCAACGAAACAACAAACUCUACCUGAAUAUCCAUACUACAAUAAGUAAACGCCUUUGAGCGCAUAAUUCCUUAAAUAAAGUGAAUAGAUAUCUAGAAGUGUUUGGGCUAUUUGCUUACAUUUUCUGCUCAAUUUUACUUUUGCACAAUUUAUUUUAACUUGACUAAAUGAUGCAGUAAAUGUUGACUGCGCUUGAUCCCUUGCAGCGAAUGCUAUUGGUCCUUGUAAAGUACGUAGUUCUGAAGCAGUCUUGUCGUGGUUUGGUAAAGCGUUCGGAGGGGUUUGCGCGCACUUUCACUGGCAAUGUCUUAUUUGGAGAACUGCAGGAGCGAGGGUACCAUGGAAAAUGUUUUGUUAUGGCUAAUGCACUUUAAGUGCACCACAAGUACAAUAGCCUUAUUCACAACUGCUUCGUUUUGUUGCAAACUUGCGUCUAGUUGUGCACAUUGUGGGUUCUUAACGUCUCAAAGGAAACCGACUGCCGCGGGUUCUAGCUUAGCGAGCCCACAGUUUGCAUUAUCCAGUCAUGAAAAUCAAACACAAUGUGGCAGCAUGUGCAUUGUUUAGUGGAGGGCUAAAAGGUGCACACUGCAAGCUAUUGUACUUAACCAUGGCUGCGUCUCGAUAUUCCAGACUUCUCAUUUAAAGAGGAAGAACAACACGAGACUGGGCACAAGGUUGGAUGCAACGAUGCCUUUUUGAGACUGCUUUAUUUUUUAAGUUUUGCUUGUUGGUGUGCAUUAAUUGGUUCAUCUCGCUGGAGCCUAAAUUCUUAAGAUACUUUGAAUGCCCAUGAGAGUGCAGUAAGCAGUAUAUCAUGUGACUCAGCACACUUGCCUCUAAUGAUGCUUCAGGUUGUGAAGUACACAACAAGAGUCUCAUGUGCUAAGCCACGAACACACAGAUUAACUUCGUUUCAUUCAUAUCAGGCAAUGCUACGAAGACUUGAGAGACUUCUCUCGCAUCUGCGACCAAACAGAAGUGCAUCACAUAUGAAAGAAAAAUGUUAGGUAUGCACUGUGUAAUUCAAAGUAAAAUUAGGUCUCGUACUUCUGUGUCACACAACAUGAUGUAUUCAUUACAUGAAUGGUGUCAGAGAUUUAAAUCUAUUUACCACCAUACGAGUGGUCUAACAUGUUCUAACAUGGACUAACUGCGAUGAGCAGCCACAGCGCAUCACUUGCACCGUGACGAAGACAUAGUAUGCCGCCUUCUAGAAGCUUAAAUAUGCAUAACUAAUGCAUGAUUUGAUGUAAACUUGUAUCGACAAGUAGCAGUUGUAAUAUACGAAGUAGUCAUUUCAUAAAAAAUGCUGCAGAUCAAGAAUAACUGCAUUGCAAAACAUGCUGAGUGAGACUUCUGAGACCACACUACUUGUGUAGCUUCUGCAGCGUUGCCUCAUAUGUAUGAAACGAAGUAUAAUUCCAGGAUACUACCCCUAAAGUACUAGUCAUACUACUCCUAAAGUCACUGGAUAUGCCUUCUUUAAAGCAUAUAUGGGAGCUUUAACUGCACUCCGCUUCCAGUGCCUCUUGCACAAUCUGAAAAAACUUCCACAUUUGACCAGCCCUAACACUUCCAUAGAAAGCAAAAGCUUUUAGCUCUUCCAUAACAUUUUGCACAGGGCAAACCCUUGAACUCCCAAGCAUUAACUACUAUCCAGAAGUUUUUGGAAAUACCUCCAAGUGGCUUUGCGUACCACAAAACCCCUACUCCUUUGCAUGCCUUUUGCAUUCUUUUUCUACGCCUGCCUGAUAGCAGCCCUUGACUUUGGGUCCCAUUAUUUUGAAAACUCCCGAUUGUCCUAAAGGUCUCAUGCAGAUAAUGUUUCCCAAAGGACUGAGGAUAGUUUGUAAGGAGAUCUUAUGCGACACUGAACUCAUGUACAUGUGGAUGCAAGUUCCUGAGCAGCAAAAGAGACGAACAGGUGGAGCAAUUGUUCCAGGCUAACACUGCCUGUAAUAUAUACCAUAACCAACCAACCAUGCAGUUUCACAAAAUGUAAGUGCAACUAGUUCAGGAUGUGGGUAGUUUUGCUUUGUUUGUCAGAAACAAGGCAAUGUCAGCAUGUGCAGUUGUGUUCAGCUCCACCGUCUCUCCACCCCAUGCAUACUAUUUUGUAUUUUACAUUAAUUUUCUUGUCAGAUGUAAAGCUUGCACGUGUUGAGUAAGAGCCCCUUUUCUGGGUGACUGAGAGAGAUAAGCUUUGUCUACAACAUAUUUUUCAAGCAUAUAUUGUACAUAAAUAUUUGACAAAGUACAAAAAAAGUUUUUAAAUAUUACCAUUUUUUUUUGGUAAGAGCUAGGGAAUUGAGCACGAUCCAUUGAUCUUCGAGGGGUUUACUUAAUGUACCAAAGUGUACCAAAGCAACACUGUGGCUAUCAAAGACACACUAGUGGACACACUCAUAUUUUUCUUUACCUGUGUAACCAGUGAACUGCCGUGGUAGGUUAAGAAGUUGAGAGGUGGACACAAAGUGUAUUGUAAUACCCAAUGGCGCAUGUGCCACCCAUUUUCAUUGCAGUUCUCGUCUGCUGAAAUCUCUGCUUCAUGCUCUUGUUUCUUGCAGAUGCCACAGACGUCGCGAUUAAGGGUAGCGUUGAGGCCAGGAGCCCGCCAGGCAUAGGGUGGAGUAUGUCCGGGAGUAGGAGCGAAAAGAAGAGGUUUAUUUACAUAUUGAAGCAAAUAAUAUCAGAUUCUAUUGAGAGCUCCUCAGAAAACUGCAUCAAGCUAGUUCCUGUUAAACUCAUAAGGGACUACUUUAAGAUUUGAUUCCGCUGUUGCAGAAUAGUUGUUGUGAAACCCGCACAAUUCGCAAUACAAGUAAAGAUCUACCAGCCUGGCAAACAUUAUUGCAGAAACCAAACACCUACCCACCGAGCAACACCAUGUUCUCAGGUUCUCCUCCACCGUAUCCAAUCAAUUGCAAGAAGUCGUCAGUCCUAAGUUGCCUUCAGUUGAUGGGAAUUCCGGUAGAUCACCACACAAGAACCAAAAUUUCUCCAGGCAGUUGUAUAUGCCCAAUUGGUCUUAACAGCUCUAGGCCAAAUGACGCAAUGCAUAUGAAGUAUAAGCCAGGCACUCCUCCUAUACAGUGGAGUCAUGAUGCACUGUGUUCAUCCUGCCACUCACCAUCCAGCUGUUGGCAACUGGAGUUGGUCAAAGGUUCCAUCUCACCGUUGUAAACCAGUUGUUAGGACUGUAUCUCAGCAGUCUGCAUGACUGAAUAAAAGCACACUACAUGUUGGAGCACUUUACAUUUCGUAGCUCUCCCGAGACACACUGAAUAAGUCUUUUUAAAGUAAUUGUUCUCCCUAUGUUCCUAGGCGGGGGAAUUCGACUACCCUGACCUGGACAAUCAGAAUGGUCAACAGUUCACAGCACUCUGCCCAUUUUGUUGCACCACCUCGUCAGCCUCCGCCCCUAAUGUUGUGCCUUCGCUGCCGCAUAUGACGCUAUCACAAGGCAAUCGGGAAGCAGGAGUUGAAGCCAUUCUCAGGGAAGUCGUCGUACGUUGGCUCCUUGCAGCAGUUAGUUGGCUCUCCGUGACGGUCAGCUUGGGCUUCUGGCAGCGAUUGCGGUUUCACAUGAGCAUCGACAGAUGACAGCCGCUUGAGAAACGUGCAGGCUUCGGCAGACAAGACCCACAUUGACAGCGACGUCGAGUUGCUUGAAUAGAGGCUCUUGACCCCUUCGCAAAUCUGACGCACUGUCCCUCUGGAAUGCUGAAGUUGUUAGCAGUCCCAUGACCCCUGUGUCCAGUCGUAACACAGGCCAGCAGAAGGGUUACAUAGAAGGAAAUCUAACAUUUACGUAACUUUAAAUCUUGGUGCCUAAUUAAAGAAGUCCAUGGGCUGCAAUGCAUUGCAACUCCUCGUAUCAGUUGGGAGUUGAUUACUGCCAAUAUUAUAAAACGUGCACCUUGGCCUGGUCUGCAAGGAGUAAGCAUGGGCAUCACGUCGAUGAAUACAUGUUGAAUAUUCUUGCACUUGGCACAAAGAGCCUCUAGAUGCAUGAAAUUGCCAUUUUACAGACUUGACUGUAGCUUAUAGUUAAGAUUCUGCAUUUGCAGAUUAUACUGAUAAAAUCCUAAAAACAUGCUCUGGUAAGAAAUUUGAUAAUUUGGAUUUAUUUGAAAAACUCUGAAUUUCGGGACCCUUCCAAACAUAAAGAUGAAACUGUUUACAGGGUUCGACAUGCUUGAGCAGUUGUUUUCUGCCGUUUCACUACUAGGGUGUGAUAUAUAUUGCCUUGCUGGCUAGGUAGUGCCAUCAGGAACAUGCUGUCAUGAAAUUGUUGAGCCCCUAAUGUUCAGGAAGAUGCAUGCCCGAAACAGGCCCGUCCUUUCACGUGCUGUGCUGGAUCUGCUGCCUUUUAUUGUAUCCAGUGUGGAUGCUGAAGGAGCAUUCUCAAUGUUUCAUUUUGUAAAUUAGGAAAAAUGUGCUGCAAUGAUCAAUCCCAGCAUUACUAAAUAUGCACGUAUGUGUUACAAUAACUUGUAACAGCAAUAAACCCUUCUGCGAUUGUAAAUGUUGAUUGUAGGUAAGAAUAUUUCUAGAGCUAUAUGCUGCCACCCCCACACCCUUCUGCUUUCUUUCUUUUCUUUCUUUUUUUUUUUUUGAGUAGGAGAAGGUGGAAGGCAAGCAACACUAAGAAGAACGAAAAACUCACAAUUUCAUAACUCUGUGAGGGGAAGUUUCGAUCAUCUGCAACAUUUGCUGACAAAAUAGAUGAAAAACGGCAUCAGACUUGCCCCUCAAUAAAGCCUGAAAAUACAGAAUACUUAUAGUGCAGCUGAGAUGCAUAGUUUGUGGCCCACUAACGGGUCAUACCACACAGCGAUUCAGGACUCUGGUGAUGAGCAUCUAUGUUGAAGUGUUAACAGCAAAGUAGUUCAUUGCACUCGAGGCACUACUUGGGCAUUUGCCACUACCACAAUACUGAAAGCCAUGAAAUCCUGUUGAUGUGAGGAAUGCACCAUAACUCUCUAAUACCUUGCUAGGUGCCUUCCUUCUUUUUUCCUCAAAGGUGGAUGUGUUGUUAAGGCAUAAAUCACUGUACUACAUUGUGGAAUGCAGGAUGAACAGGCAGAGGGAGAUGACACAGCACAUUUUGACAUAAGACAAGGAAGCAGAGGUGGGGGUGGGGAGUUCUGUGUCAUCGCCUCUGCUUAAUUAUCCUAUGGCUUCCAGGCUGUGCAGUAAAUCUAAAGUUGUCACAGCUAGUUUUAUACAACUUGCCACAUUCUCUCGCUUAAUAUUUUGUGUGACUUUGACCUUUUUUUUUCUUUGCAUAAAAGGCCACUCUGGUGAUAUUGUGAGGUCUGUGAAUCAUAACAAAAUUUCUGCUAAACGUUCUCUCUGGCAUGUAAAAUUUUAUGACAGAACAUUAUUCAAUUUCAUAUAAAAUGAAUUUUAAAGAUUAUCAUACAUGCUCUCAACUUGCGCCCGCGAAUGCGUGAUUUUUUAGUUAUCGUCCUGUGCUUGCCGAUAUCAGUGCCUACUAGCAGACGGUGCUGAUCGAGCAGCGAGUGCUUGCCAAGUAGUCAUUUUGCACACGCACUCAUAUGCAGUGCAAGGUUCAUUCCUUGGCCGUUAGACAUACAGUAUUAAAGCACACAGACCUCCAAAUAGAAUGGCACAUAACAUUCAAUUGCCUUUCUUGUUUUCUUAAAUGUUUUAUAUUUGAACUUGAUGGAAGCAUUCGGGGCUUGCAAUGCCAAGCUACAGUAGACACUUGACAAAGAAUGCUCUGUCGGCACUCACUGUGUUCAAAAAGGGUAGGCUCUGAUUUCGUCACGCGUAGUUAACCUCCAAGCUACCCUGAGCAGUUUUGGUUUCAAUACGUUGUUUUUUUUCUAUGUAGUUUGAAAAAAACAUUUCUUCUAGAGUUACCCUUUAAGGUAGAUUCACACUGUAAUGCAAUUUAUGGCUCAUUGCAAUGACUCAACUUGGCACAGUGCGGUUUGGUACCUCGAAGCCACGUCACGACUCUAGAAUGAAUUGGUAUUUGGUCUAUCGUGCGAGUCUGUCUUCUUUUUUUUUCCCCCACCCUGUAGUUGCUCUGGUGUGUCUCGUUGUGAAGUUUGAGAGGGUGUGGCCAACAGGAGCUGGUAACAUUCUAUGACAUCGCAUUGGCAGCAGGCGAUGACAGCCAAUUGAUCGGGAAGCCCACGAAGAGCUGGACGAAAUUUGAGCAAGAUUUUAUGCAUCAGUUUAGUAACUAAUAUCUGUGUAAAAAUGUUCUUGGUUAUGUAGCCGUGAUGACCAGCCGCAGCUGGUGAACAGAGCAAGGCAGGCGGCCUGGUCACAUGGCUUCCUGGACUUAGGAGGCCAACCGCAAGGAAGGCAACCAAACAACUUCGUCUGCUCUCGAUAAAGUUCAGUUAUCAUUGUUACGUAACGUAAUACUAGCUGCAUUAAUUUGCUCUAUUAAAAGGAAAAAAUUAAGUUACUUAUUGCUUACUUAAAAUACCCUCAGGCAUUAGAGAAGGGGGUAGCUGAAAAGAAUAACAAAAUAAUAAAAAACAAGAAAGUAACGUAUCCAUACAAAGCUGUGCCGACUUUUCCUUUGUGUGCAUGUGUGUAUGCACAGACAUUAACGCGACUAAAGCAUUCAACAAGGCUGGUAAUGCAUCACAUUGUUGUUCUUGGUUUUUUCGUUGAGAACCACAGCUAGGGAACAAGACAUAGAUGACACAACACCGUCCCUUGUUACAUUGCCUUCGUCUCGCGUACCAUUCUCUACCACUGGCUCGCAUAUUAAUUCAGCAAGGUUUCAUGCGAGAUACUUUCGCUAAAACUAAAAAGCUACAAGACAAUCAUCCGCCUUGUUUGUGGUUGUGUAGGUACCUGAAGUGAGCUGCAACCUGGUCAGGUUCUCAGACCGCAUCUUCCAGCAGUCUUUUGUGUCGUGUUCGGGUGUGCCUUAAGUCUUAAACCUUGGGCUUUUGUUGCUUUUAGUAUUUAAUAAUGAUUUACACAAGAGACCUGCAAUUCAUAAAUGUUACUUGCUGGUAGUGUAUAGUAAUUUUAUUUGAAAGUAUAAAUGACUGCCAUUUUCUGCAGCAAGACAUCAUGUCAGUUGAGCGAUGGUGCUCGAUAAACAGGCUUCAGCUUAACCUGGAAGAAAACUUCAGUAUAUAUAUAUUUUAUCAGAAAGAUUCACAGCACAAUAUUCGAAUAUUUUCUUGCAGGUGGAGCAAUAUGGUGACUGAGUCAAGUCAGGGACAUCAAUCUCCGAUUUGGCUGCCAGCUGGAUUUUUUGCGUGCAUGUAUCACACGCUGUUAAUGUUGC